rnacentral:rRNA from 1 species
AACGAACGCUGGCGGCAUGCUUUACACAUGCAAGUCGAACGGCAGCACGGGGGUAACCUUGGUGGCGAGUGGCGAACGGGUGAGUAUAUAUCGGAACAUAUCCGGAAGUGGGGGAUAACGUACCGAAAGGUACGCUAAUAUCGCAUAUGCCCUGAGGGGGAAAGGAGGGGAUCGUAAGACCUUUCGCUUUCGGAGUGGCCGAUAUCGGAUUAGCUAGUUGGUGAGGUAAAGGCUAACCAAGGCGACGAUCCGUAGCUGGUCUGAGAGGACGACCAGCCACACUGGAACUGAGACGCGGUCCAGACUCCUACGGGAGGCAGCAGUGGGGAAUUUUGGACAAUGGGGGAAACCCUGAUCCAGCCAUGCCGCGUGAGUGAAGAAGGCCUUCGGGUUGUAAAGCUCUUUCAGCCGGAAAGAAAGCGCACAGGUUAAUACCUUGUGUGGAUGACGGUACCGGAAGAAGAAGCACCGGCCAACUACGUGCCAGCAGCCGCCGUAACAC